AGCAGUCUUAAAGAGCUGUGCCAUGCAUUCUGCAUCCAGUGAGAGAAAGAUGGUGGAGGCCAAAACCAAAAUUACAGCCUGCUCCAUUCAGAUUCAGGAACUCGUUUGCCUGUGCCCUGCUUCCCUGAGAGCCCAGAGUGACUGAUUGCAGACCCUGGACUUCUGCAGGCUUAAACCAGUAGGGCACCUUUCAGCCUGGAUCUGAAUGCACAACUUCAGCAAAUGGGGGACAUACAUACAGAAGGCUUGACAAACCACAGUAUGCAAGAUGACUGCUGCUGUGCCAGAUACCACAUCAAUAUCCAAGGAGAAAGAAGGAGGGAAGGAGCAGCUUCAGAGGUCUCUCUAAC